GAUGAACGCUAGCUACAGGCUUAACACAUGCAAGUCGAGGGGCAGCAUGGUCUUAGCUUGCUAAGGCCGAUGGCGACCGGCGCACGGGUGAGUAACACGUAUCCAACCUGCCGUCUACUCUUGGACAGCCUUCUGAAAGGAAGAUUAAUACAAGAUGGCAUCAUGAGUCCGCAUGUUCACAUGAUUAAAGGUAUUCCGGUAGACGAUGGGGAUGCGUUCCAUUAGAUAGUAGGCGGGGUAACGGCCCACCUAGUCUUCGAUGGAUAGGGGUUCUGAGAGGAAGGGCCCCCACAUUGGAACUGGGCCACGGUCCAAACUCCUACGGGAGGAGCAAGUGAGGAAUAUUGGUCAAUGGGCCAAGGCCUGAAACAGCCAAGUAGCGUGAAGGAUGACUGCCUUUUGGGUUUUAAAUUUCUUUUAUAAAGGAAUAAAGUCGGGUAUUUUCACCCGUUUGCAUGUACUUUAUGAAAAAGGAGCGGCUAACCCCGU
rnacentral:rRNA from 1 species